AGAAGGGUGGGGAGACGGAAUACGUGCGCUACCACUGCAAUCCUGGCUUAGUCGCUGGUUCGCUCUUCGCCACUGACGACGUACGCAGUUCUUUCUCUUUCUCCGAAUCAAUCUCACCCUUAUUCUUCUCGAUCACCGGGGCUUUGACCACACCUUCACAAAAUGCCAGCUGACAGCUAUCUAAAAGCCGAUCCCGAGCUUAAGAAGGAGUUGGCCGAAAUUGCCGCUAAGAUUGUCGCACCGGGCAAAGGUAUCCUUGCCGCUGACGAGUCGACCACCACCAUCGGCAAGCGUCUCAAGGAUAUUAACGUCGAGAACAACGAGGAGAACCGCAAGGCUUACAGGCAGCUCCUCUUCACCGCUAACAAGGAGCUGAUCAGCAACCAUAUCUCCGGUGUGAUCCUCUUCCACGAAACCCUCUACCAGAAAGCCGAUGAUGGAACUGCGUUCGUCGACCUGAUGAAGGAACGCGAUAUAAUUCCCGGAAUCAAGGUCGACAAGGGCGUCGUGCCGUUGUUCGGCACCGACGACGAGUGCACCACUCAGGGGCUCGAUGAUCUCCAGGCACGUUGCAUCCAAUACAAGAAGGAUGGUUGCCACUUCGCCAAGUGGCGUUGCGUUCUCAAGAUCAAGCCUGGAUGCCCAUCCAAACUGGCCAUCCUCGAGAACGCCAAUGUACUCGCUCGUUACGCUUCAAUUUGCCAGAGCGCCAGGAUAGUACCCAUCGUUGAGCCUGAAAUUCUUCCUGAUGGUGAUCAUGAUCUCAAGAGGUGUCAGGAAGUCACCGAAGAAGUUCUCGCUGCCGUUUACAAGGCAUUGGCCGAUCACCACGUCUACCUCGAGGGAACUCUGUUGAAGCCUAACAUGGUCACACCCGGUCAGAGUUGCCCGAAAAAGGCAACGCCCCAGGAGAUCGCCGCUGCUACCGUGACCGCUCUUCAACGCACAGUGCCACCAGCAGUGACUGGUGUCACAUUCCUUAGCGGUGGUCAGUCCGAGGAGGAAGCAUCGGUCAAUCUCGAUGCCAUCAAUAAGUUCCCAGGAAAAAAGCCAUGGGCACUCACUUUCAGCUACGGACGUGCUCUUCAAGCUUCCGUUCUCCGCGCCUGGGGUGGCAAGAAAGACCAAGUCGCUGCUGCUCAAGAGGAACUCAUUAAACGAGCGAAGGCCAAUGGCGCAGCCUGUCAAGGCAAGUACGUUGCUGGCAGCAUCAAGAGUUUGGCUGGCACCACUUCGCUUCACGUGGCAGCCCACAAAUACUAAAAACAAUAUCUUUCUAUAUCUGUCGCAUUGUCUCGCACUCUGCUAACCUUUUAUUUUUAAUGCAGCAAACAGCGAGUCGGCCCUUGGAAAAUACGCUGGUGGUGUGAAAGGUGCAGCUGGCGAUGCCGCGCUUUUCGUCGCCAACCACGCUUAUUAAAUUCGCAGUCUACAAAACAGUAUGUCCAAAGAAUAAAAAAAAACACAAGAUUUAAAAUCGCACGUUAACAACUAAUAAAAAACAAGAUAGUACCGAAGUUCAGUUUAUAACCACGUGAUAUGAGAGUGAGUGGCAACGAAUUGAGUGUUGAUAUAUAAAGACAAAAAAUUACGCAGUUGCACAAAAAGCAAAGGGGCAGAAAACAAGAGUGUGAAUGAAAAAAUUAUUAUUAAUCUUAUGUUGUAUUUUAUCACUAUACACGCUAAGCGAAUGAAAAAAAAAAUGGUUUUUAUUGGUAGUCUCGAGUGACAUGCUUGCUUAUCCAAUUUCUUUUAACUUCCCUUCGUUUGAUAUUAAAAAAUGCUACGAGGAAUGUCCGUUAUUUGAUUGUUUUCGAAGGCUCUCUGCUUUCAAUUUUACGUUUAAGAAUCUUGACCCUGCUUUUUUUUUUCUUUUUUUUUUUAUUAUUUGCAGAUGAGUGUUGGUGCUUAUAUAUACACUAUUAUAUUCAUAUCCCUCGCUCUUGUAUUCAGUGAGAUAACUAUAAAUAUUCAUAUCGAAAUCGUUUUGUUUUUUAUUUCGGAGAUACGAGAACGCGACGGGAAAAUCGUUUUCUGCAAUAUGCGAAUCAUCUUGGUUUCGAAUUCGCCGAUACAAUUCGUAUUUCGGUCAAUUCAUUCCGUGACUGAUUGUUUUCCAACAUAAUUUGUUGUCCCAAAUGUGAGAAUUUGAAAAAUUGCUGUCUUUAGGUGUAUCCUAAUUAUAUAUGAUAAUGCGCUUAUGUUUACGAUUAUAAUGAACCGUAUUAAAAUGGAAGUCUAAAUAAAUGUUGUUGGUUAUAAAAUAGUUGAAAAAAUAAAACAGUUACAUCAUGUUAGAUGAUAAAGUAUAUAUGUAGUAGCUUCAAAAGAAAAAUUUAUUCCGUGAUCAAUUUUAUGGAUGUGUACAAUUCUGAAAGGAAAUUGUAUCAUUCAUUUCAUUUAUGUAAUAUUUUGAUUAUUAAAUACACCGUGGAUGAUACAAAUUAA